GGAGACAAACUCCCUCAACUCCCGAGGAGCACCGCCACCCACCUACCUCUCCUCGUUGUGCCAAACCAGCCAACCACCCAGUCCCACUCCAGAUCCAUCCAUCCUGACCGUUGGAUCAAGAUCCGAUGUCCAGGAGGUGUCCCCUGCAGCUCCCCAUUCACAGUCUCCUCGAUCCGAUCUAGAUCGGGAGGAAGUCCUGGGAGCUGCCCAAGCCAUGCGCUCGCCGCCCACCGGUCGCCACCGACGACCAGCACCCCGGUCAGGUCGACCCCGCUGCCGCGCCCUUCAUCUUCCUCCCGUGCUCUCUCCUUAUCUGGAUCCUCUUCUCUCUUUCUACUUCUCAAACUCUCUCUCCCUUUAUGCUUUUACCAGCAAGACGAACAUGGCGCCACCGCAAGCAAGCGCCGCCGUCGCUGGUCGCCUCUAGCCAUUCUGGUCAAAAACCGAACCCGAGCAAACUCCUCGUCCAAGAUCCGGCCUUCCCCAUGCUCUCCUUCCCAGCCGCGUCCAUGCCUACGCCGUUGACCUGCUUGAACCUCCAUGGUCGUCCUCCUCUGUUUCGUUGAUGAGCAUCGUGACAGCCGCCCCAAACUCUGCCCGUGCCACCUCACCGGAGAGCGCCUCCCCCAACCGGUUCCUCAUCUCUGACCUUUGAGCGCUGCCUCAAUGCCGAGGCUUGCCUUCGUUGAGCGCCGCCUCAAGCACAGCCAAGCUGACCCAGUAUUGCUCUUGUUUCAAUCAGAUUCAGAUAUAACAUGUUGUUUUUUUAGUUUUGUUCAGGUUUAGAGGAAUAUAUGUUUAUUAAGGGAAGCACAUGCAUUUUUUCCUUCACCAUAGGGCACUGCUAGGCCCCGGCGCGCCGGCCCAAGUAGUUGCGCUGGUCGUGCCCUAGCACUAUAGGAGGACAUAGCUUUGGUAACAUAGUGUUAUGUUACUAUAGGCCAUAAAUAGUGUUACUAGGUCCACUAGUAACACAUUUUGAAAUGUGUUCUAUUAGACCGUGUUACUAAGUGAUGUUCAUUGUCACACAUAGUUAAUGUUACUAUAUAUUAAAAAUUGUGUUACAAUUACAUUAUAGUAACAUGCAUAUUAUGUGUUACCAAACGAGACAGUAACACAUUUUUGUACCUAUAGUAACACAUUUUCGUAAACAUAAAACUUGGUGGUAACAUGUUUUUGGAACUAUGGUAACACAAUUGGUAACACAAUUUCUAGCUUCAAAACAUAACUAGUAACACAAUAUCCAAAUAUCGUAACACUAUGAUUCAUAGUUGUUGACUAAGCUGGUAACACAUAUUGUAACUAGAUAUUGUAACUAUAAUAACACCAUCUGUAACACCACUAUAUUAGUAUGGCAAAAAAAUUAAUAUAUUUCUUUUUUUAAUUAUUAACAAAAAAUUAUAUACCCAUUUAUAUAUUUAUUUAAUGAUAUCAUUACAAUUUCUCAAAUAGUUAAUUGGUUAAUUUGAUACUUGGCACCAUUUAAAUGAUAGAGAAACUGAAGCACAAAUAAAAAAUACCAAGAUGUUUAUUACAAAUAUACAACAGUGAAGAUACAUAUGCAUUACAACAAAUGAAGACCAAUAUUACUUCUGCCACAACAUAUCAUUCAUAUUGUUUUCACUACGGAAAACACAUCCAUGAAGAAUAUUACACCAUAGUAUUCAAAUGGAUCCUAUCUAUCAAUGUAAACUAUAGUUAUUGCAAAUAAAAUCUUGAAAUUUUAUUUGCUUCUUGAUCCAAACGGAGAAUUCAGCUGCAACUCGAUUAUCCUUCUUUCCAAUCUGUAAAAGAAAAUUGGACCUUAUAGUUAUGUGAUCUAAUGCACACAAAUAUGAUUUUAGAAUAUAGAAGAAAAGACUUUAACUUGCAAAAAGUGAAGGCCACACAAGUAAGUAUCCCGAAGCAAAAGCAUCACCAAAUUUCUUGCAAUCAGAAACUUCCCUUACUAACUCAUUGUGAAGAAUAGGUUCAUCUAUGUGCACAAGUGCAAAUUCGGCGCCUAACACAAUACCUCCAGCCUGUUCAAUCAGUAUUCCAAAUAGUAGCAUAUGAAACAUUCCGAUUGUUGUAGAAGACCGUCAUGACCAUUCCUGUUCGUUAGGGAUACCCAUUCAGGCUGCAAGUGGGACUAAUAGCGGGAUGCGCACUUACGCCCAUGCCUGUACAUAUCUAUUAUGCGGGUAUUCCCGGGCAUCCCACAGUUAACCAUGUUGCAUCUGCUUGCCCCCAUAAUCCCAAUAAUCUCGCAUCGUAGUAAGAUGGUGUGCUGUUGUAUUAAGAGUGUUCAUAAUCACAACGUGUCAGAUGUGUGGUAAGCAAUCAUAAGAAAAUAGUUCAGACAAUUCUAUACUUACCUCCUGUACCAACCAACACUAACUAGCUGUUGUAUCUCGACAUUAGUCGAACACAAGCACACAUACAACUAUCAAUCGGGACACUACAUGAGCAAGCACAUGCAAAGUAAGUGAUGAGGACAUCAAUANN
rnacentral:lncRNA from 1 species